UCCAAAAUGAAAAUAAAGUAACUUUUCAAGAACUUUUCAAGGUAGAUAAGAAUAAUGAGAGACUCUUUUAUAGAUGACAGUUUUUUUGUGCAUGGAGACAGCUUUUAGGAUUUACAAAAGUGGAAAAAGUUACCCCGGCCGCGCCGGGGUCGGCUGAAAGUUACCCCGGCCACGGCCGGGGUGGCCGGGGCAGGUUCUCCACCCAUGAAAACAUGUAUUUUUCAGUAGAAGAAAUAAUUUUUAAUGAAAAAGAGCCUUACUAUAUGACACGAUGUUUAUCGAUUUUAACAGUUCAAACCACUUUAAAUGGAUAUCCCUAAGGAACAUCUCUAUAAUGCCUCAGUGCUUCCGGUCCUUCCUUUCUCGAAAGUACUGCGAAGGCUGCCGGCAGCGUGGUUGUUCCUUUCGCGAGUUGGUGUCUGGCGCACAGCGCGAACGUCUCAUGAGCAAGAAGCCGUAGAGACGAUGCUCUCAAUGUUGGACACCGAAGUGAGGCAACUCAUCAGGCACAACGCCAAAAUGUCCCUGUUGUGUCCUGGCCUGGGUCACGCGUGUCGCGCCUUGACAGCCGUGACCUUGAACGACCUUGACCGGCCGGGCCGGGCCGAGCGGCCGAGGGUCAGUAUCGUCCGAGCGGCGCUGGUGUCAACACAGCUGAGUGCCGCGAGGUGAGGUGAGGCGUGUUCGCCGAGACGGUCCGGCCACAGUGAAAUAGUGAAAUAGUGGUGUAAUCGAUAAUAUGCGUGGCCAGUACGCGAGUGAGAUUGACCCUGUGCGCGACACCGAUUCAGAGACGCACAUAAGUUAACACCGUCGUGUCGGAUCGCUCGUACCGGUGAUGGGAGACAACGAGCAGCUGGAGCGUCUGAUGGCGCUCAUGGCUCAGCAGUCAGCAGGCUGCCAUGCUGGAGCAGCUCCUCCCCAGCCAGAUGUACCAGCUGCGCAAACUGUCUAGAGCGGCCAACCGGCUGUCGUCGCCUCCGCCGCUCCUAUGGCUAGACUUCGGUCUCGCAUGGACUCCCGUCGGUAGUGUUCACAUGCCAGCCCAUACAUUUUACCUGUAUUAACUUUUUAAUGUCUGUGCCUGUGUAACUAUUGUACGUGCCUGUACUUAACAGUGUUUGAAUUGUAUAUCGUUCGCACAGUCUGUGGACCGUGGGGAGCGCCGCUUGACAUGCAUUUUUGCACUUACCUGCAUUCCGUGUUAAAAGUAAAGUAAAGUAAAGGGACUGAGCUGUCGUGCACCGGGAGAUAUUAUGGUCUCUUGCUAAACGACUCAGUUGAAACUCAGCACGCUGGUCGGUACUGACUGGGGCGGCACGCGAAAGGGUUUGGGCAGCUUUUAAAAAAAAAAUGUUCGCAUCGAAUGACUGCAUCGCAUGUUCUGUUCCAGAGUGAGUUUUUUGACAUCUGACACAAUAAAUAUACAUGCCUGUUCUU
rnacentral:lncRNA from 1 species